rnacentral:rRNA from 1 species
UACGUAGGGGGCAAGCGUUGUCCGGAAUUAUUGGGCGUAAAGCGCGCGUAGGUGGCCCCAUAAGUCCGCUGUGAAAGUCAAAGGCUCAACCUUUGAAAGCCGGUGGAUACUGUGGGACUAGAGUACGGAAGAGGCGAGUGGAAUUCCUGGUGUAGCGGUGGAAUGCGCAGAUAUCGUAAGGAAGACCAGUGGCGAAGGCGGGUCUCUGGACAGUUCCUGACGCUGAGGCACGAAGGUCAGGGGAGCAAACGGG